GUUAUUUUAAUAAAAAAUUAAUUAUUAGAAUCUACUAAUUCAUUAUGAGAUGGUGCAAUGCAACCUAAUAUCCCACCCCUCUCUAUGUAUUGGUGAAGCUCAGUAUAUUCACAUACACACACACACUCACUCUUAAAGCCAAUGAUUAUGCCAAGUGUCAAUUCAUCUGCAACACCCACCAUAUCAAAUGAUUGUUUAAACAAAUAAUUUAAAUCUUGAUGUCUUGCCUAUUCAAUUGUCUCCUACGCAGCACCUUACAAAACUUGUGGCUCAGAUUUUGUGUGAUGUUUUCUUUAGAUGUAUCAAUUUAAUUUUUAAAAAAUUGCAAUUUUCUUUAGAAUUACUCAUUUA
rnacentral:lncRNA from 1 species